rnacentral:rRNA from 15 species
UUAAAUUGAAGAGUUUGAUCAUGGCUCAGAUUGAACGCUGGCGGCAGGCCUAACACAUGCAAGUCGAACGGUAACAGGAAGCAGCUUGCUGCUUCGCUGACGAGUG